GGAGCUUAAACGCCCAUCACUGAGCGACGUGGCUUGAGUACAGGGGGCGGGCUACAUCCCGGAACUUACAAUGGUGCACUAUACGUGCCUUGGUGCCCCCCCCCCGAAUGUGCACAAGAAGGAUGUGAUGCUGGAGGGGACGGGUCUGACGCUGUAGGCUGCAGUAGGAGGAAAUUUGUUUUUCCUGUUUACAGCAGCAUGGACAUCUAUGGGCGGAUGCAGUGGGCCUAUUUUGGAGAGUGGGCCUGGAGCUGCAGCUCCAUACGCCCCAUUGUUAAUCCGGCCCUGGUCAGAUGACCUAGAUCACAGUGCAGAAGCCAGAGAUCACAUGACUGGAGCUGGAGGAGAACACAGGAGCAAUGAUCACCGAGGAAUUUAAAUACUCCAGGCAACAAGAGGCUGGCUGCUGGCUGUAGGAUGACGUCCGCUCUGUGUAGAAAAAUAAAUUCCAUCCAACAUGAAAAAUGUGCCCAAAAUAUCUUCAGUUCUGUUUAUCUCCUGAAACUUUCUCCCCAAGAGCUAUUAAAAAGGUGUUUGAACCUCA